rnacentral:snRNA from 1 species
GUGCUCGCUUCGGCAGCACAUAUACUAAAAAAUUGGAACGAUACAGAGAAGAUUAGCAUGGCCCCUGCGCAAGGGUGACAUGCAAAUUCAUGAGAUCUGACACCCUCGU